GAUGAACGCUAGCGGCAGGCUUAACACAUGCAAGUCGAGGGGCAGCAUGAGACGGAGAUUCGUCAAAGUCUUGAUGGCGACCGGCGCAAGGGUGCGUAACGCGUGAGCAACUUGCCCGUUUCUGGGGAAUAACCGGUGGAAACGCCGACUAAUACCCCAUGGCAUCAAUGAGAGGCAUCUCUUAUUGAUUAAAGAAUUUCGGAAACGGAUAGGCUCGCGUGACAUUAGCUAGAUGGCGGGGUAACGGCCCACCAUGGCGACGAUGUCUAGGGGUUCUGAGAGGAAGGUCCCGACACUGGAACUGAGACACGGUCCAGACUCCUACGGGAGGCAGCAGUGAGGAAUAUUGGUCAAUGGUCUGACGACUGAACCAGCCAUGCCGCGUGAAGGUGACGGGCCCUAUGGGUUGUAAACUGCUUUAGUUGGGAAUAAAAGGGAGUACGUGUACUCUGUAUUGUAUGUACAUCAG
rnacentral:rRNA from 1 species